GGAUUGAUAUUCCGCUAUGGACGCGGGGCUGUCUGUAAAACAGUUGCUUAGGCUGGCCAGGUUCGAUUCCUGGGCGAUCCACCA
rnacentral:tRNA from 1 species